rnacentral:rRNA from 1 species
UUAAGCAAAGAAGAGCGCAGGGUGGAUGCCUUGGCACUAAGAGCCGAAGAAAGACGUGAUAAGCUGCGAAAAGCUGCGGGGAGAUGCAAAUAAUCCUUGAUCCGCAGAUGUCUGAAUGGGGAAACCCGGUACGAAGAACUCGUAUCAUCCAUACGCCAAUCCAUAACGUAUGGAGGGGAACCCGGUGAACUGAAACAUCUAAGUAGCCGGAGGAAGAGAAAGAAACAUCGAUUUUGUUAGUAGCGGCGAGCGAAAGCGAAAGAGGCCAAACCGGAGUGCGUGCACUCCGGGGUUCGGACCGCAUUUAAGAUUCAGUAAUUCUAGCAGAAAGGUUUGGGAAAGCCUGCCGGAGAGGGUGAAAGCCCCGUAAGCGAAAGGAGAGCUGACUGAGCGGGAUCCAGAGUACAUCGAGACACGAGAAACCUUGAUGGAAUGAGCGGGGACCACCCCGUAAGCCUAAAUACUACUUAGUGACCGAUAGCGCAUAGUACUGUGAAGGAAAGGUGAAAAGGACCCCGGGAGGGGAGUGAAAGAGAACCUGAAACCCUGUGUUUACAAGCUGUGGAAGUUCUUUAAAUGAACAACCGCGUACUUUUUGUAGAACGGUCCGGCGAGUUGCGGAUACUGGCAAGGUUAAGCACUUAAGGUGCGGAGCCGAAGGGAUACCAAGUCUUAACAGGGCGUUAAGUCAGUAUACGCAGACCCGAAACCGGGUGAUCUAUCCAUGUCCAGGUUGAAGUUGUCGUAAAAGACAAUGGAGGACCGAAGCCACAUCCGUUGAAAAGGGUGGGCAUGAGGUGUGGAUAGGGGAGAAAUUCCAAUCGAACCCGGAGAUAGCUGGUUCUCCUCGAAAUAGCUUUAGGGCUAGCCUCGAUUUAGUCUUAUGGAGGUAGAGCACUGAAUUUCCGCGGGGGCGUCAAAGCUUACCAAAGAAUAUCAAACUCCGAAUGCCAUGUAGAUGAUGAUCGGGAGUCAGACUGCACGAGAUAAGUUGGGCAGUCAAAAGGGAAAGAGCCCAGACCACCGGCUAAGGUCCCAAAGUGCGUGUUAAGUGGAAAAGGAUGUGGGAAUUCGAAGACAACUAGGAUGUUGGCUCAGAAGCAGCCAUACAUUCAAAGAGUGCGUAACAGCUCACUAGUCGAGAGUUCCUGCGCCGAAAAUGUCCGGGGCUGAAACACGACACCGAAGCCGUGGACUCGCAAUGCGAGUGGUAGAGGAGCAUUCUUAAAACCGACGAAGCUGUACCGAAAGGAGCAGUGGAGGGAUAAGAAGAGAGAAUGCCGGAAUGAGUAGCGAGAGAAAGGUGGGAAUCCUUUCGGCCGAAUAUCUAAGGUUUCCAGAGUAAAGCUGAUCUGCUCUGGGUAAGUCGGGGCCUAAGCACAGGUCGCAAGACGUAAGCGAUGGAUAACAGGUUUAGAUUCCUGUACCACGCAUUAUCAGAACUGUAGGGACGCAUGUGGAAAGCACGAGCCGGGAAUGGAAAAACCGGUACAAGCGGGGUAGGUGUACAAUAGGCAAAUCCGUUGUAUAAUCCGAAGACGUGAUGUGGAGCGAAAUAAAGUAGCAAAGCGUGUGAGCCAUGUGCCGAGAAAAGCUGCUAUUGUGUAAUGCGUGCCCGUACCGUAAACCGACACAGGUGGAUGAGGAGAGAAUCCUAAGGCCGGCGGAAGAAGCAUUGUUAAGGAAUUCGGCAAAAUGACCCCGUAACUUCGGGAGAAGGGGUGCCUGCGAGAGCAGGCCGCAGAGAAUAGGCUCAAGCAACUGUUUAGCAAAAACACAGGUCUAUGCGAAACCGAAAGGUGAAGUAUAUGGGCUGACGCCUGCCCGGUGCUGGAAGGUUAAGAGGAGAGGUUAGCGUAAGCGAAGCUUUGAAUUUAAGCCCCAGUAAACGGCGGCCGUAACUAUAACGGUCCUAAGGUAGCGAAAUUCCUUGUCGGGUAAGUUCCGACCCGCACGAAAGGUGUAACGAUUUGGGCACUGUCUCAACAAAGGAUCCGGUGAAAUUG